GGGCGAUUGGCUCAGUGGUAGAGCGCUCGCUUCACACGCGAGAGGUCACUGGUUCGAACCCAGUAUCGCCCACCG
rnacentral:tRNA from 2 species